GAUGAACGCUAGCGACAGGCUUAACACAUGCAAGUCGAGGGGCAGCACAGGUAGCACUACCGGUUGGCGACCGGCGCACGGGUGAGUAACGCGUAUGCAACUUACCUAUCAGAGGGGGAUAACCCGACGAAAGUCGGACUAAUACCGCAUAAAGCAGGGGGCCCGCAUGGGGGGAUUGGCUAAAGAUGCAUCGCUGAUAGAUAGGCAUGCGUUCCAUUAGGCAGUGGGCGGGGUAACGGCCCACCAAACCGACGAUGGAGAGGGGUUCUGAGAGGAAGGGCCCCCACAGUGGUACUGAGACACGGACCACUGUGCUACGGCCCGGAGCCGUGCGGGAGACUGGAGAAGGGCCGAUAGGCUGAACCGGCCAAGUCGCGUGAGGGAUGGCGGUGCUCUGGAUCGUAGCCUUCGGUUAGAAGGGAACAUAGGGCGGGACGGGUCCCGUUUUGAAGGUACCUUAUGAAUAAGGAUCGGCUAACUCCGUG
rnacentral:rRNA from 1 species